AAGUCGUAACAAGGUUUCCGUAGGUGAACCUGCGGAAGGAUCAUUAGAAAUCACCGGCUUAGCCGGUAUAAUAUUCUAUCCACCUUGUGUGCAAACAAUGAAAAAAGAGAGAAAAUUGGAUACUUUUCUGUAUUCAACUUCUCUAAAAUUCUUUAUAAACUCCAUCAAAUUUUGAAUGAAAACAUUUUUUUUUUUUUAAAUAAAAAAAUAUUAUACAACUUUCAACAACGGAUCUCUUGGCUCUC
rnacentral:misc_RNA from 1 species